UUGACAGGAACUAUUUUUUUCAGGGCAUAGGAGGCUACUUCCUGUGAUGCACUCGAGGUGUUUAUAAACAAAGUGAAAACACGUGGAUUUGAGGGUAGCCCUGUUUGCAGAUGGAAAAAGUCCGAAAAUGCCGUGUGGGUACCCUGUUUUUUUGGUGUCAGCUAAUGUGACAGGGCAUAGGAGGCUACUUCCUGUGAUGCACUCGAGGUGUUUAUAAACAAAGUGAAAACACGUGGAUUUGAGGGUAGCCCUGUUUGCAGAUGGAAAAAGUCCGAAAAUGCCGUGUGGGUACCCUGUUUUUUUGGUGUCAGCUAAUGUGACAGGGCAUAGGAGGCUACUUCCUGUGAUGCACUCGAGGUGUUUAUAAACAAAGUGAAAACACGUGGAUUUGAGGGUAGCCCUGUUUGCAGAUGGAAAAAGUCCGAAAAUGCCGUGUGGGUACCCUGUUUUUUUGGUGUCAGCUAAUGUGACAGGGCAUAGGAGGCUACUUCCUGUGAUGCACUCGAGGUGUUUAUAAACAAAGUGAAAACACGUGGAUUUGAGGGUAGCCCUGUUUGCAGAUGGAAAAAGUCCGAAAAUGCCGUGUGGGUACCCUGUUUUUUUGGUGUCAGCUAAUGUGACAGGUAAUGUUUAACAUCUCCUGCUAAAUAUUUUUUCAUGUAAACACAUACCUGAUUUUUAACGAUUUUUUAUUCUAAAUAGAAUUAUAUA